UCACUUUCAACAACGGAUCUCUUGGCUCUCGCAUCGAUGAAGAACGUAUCGAAGUGCGAUAAGUAGUGUGAAUUGCAGAAUUCCGUGAAUCAUCGAAUUUUUGAACGCAAAUUGCACUCCCUGGUAUUCCGGGGAGUAUGCCUGUUUGAGGGUCAGUC
rnacentral:rRNA from 1 species